GUGAGGAAUAUUGCGCAAUGGAGGCAACUCUGACGCAGCCAUGCCGCGUGCAGGAAGAAGGCGCUACGCGUUGUAAACUGCUUUUAACCGGGAAGAAACCCCAGGACGUGUCCUGGGUUGACGGUACCGGAGGAAUAAGCACCGGCUAACUUCGUGCCAGCAGCCGCGGUAAUACGAAGGGUGCAAGCGUUAUCCGGAUUCAUUGGGUUUAAAGGGUGCGUAGGCGUAGCGUUAAGUCAGUGGUGAAAUCCUGCUGCUUAACUGUAGACUUGCCAUUGAUACUGGCGCUCUUGAGUGCGCUUGAAGUGGGCGGAAUGUGCCGUGUAGCGGUGAAAUGCUUAGAUAUGGCACAGAACACCAAUUGCGAAGGCAGCUCACUAAGGCGAUACUGACGCUGAGGCACGAAAGCGUGGGGAUCGAACAGGAUUAGAAACCCGAGUAGUCC
rnacentral:rRNA from 1 species